AGCUCAAAUUUGAAAUCUGGCUCUUUUAGGGUCCGAGUUGUAAUUUGCAGAGGGCGCUUUGGCGUUGGCAGCGGUCCAAGUUCUUUGGAACAGGACGUCACAGAGGGUGAGAAUCCCGUACGUGGUCGCUAGCCUUCGCCGUGUAAAGCCCCUUCGACGAGUCGAGUUGUUUGGGAAUGCAGCUCUAAAUGGGAGGUAAAUUUCUUCUAAAGCUAAAUACUGGCCAGAGACCGAUAGCGCACAAGUAGAGUGAUCGAAAGAUGAAAAGCACUUUGGAAAGAGAGUCAAAUAGCACGUGAAAUUGUUGAAAGGGAAGCGCUUGCAGCCAGACUUGCCUGUAGUUGCUUAUCCGGACUUUUGUCCGGUGCACUCUUCUGCGGGCAGGCCAGCAUCAGUUUAGGCGGUUGGAUAAAGGUCUCUAUCACGUACCUCCCUUCGGGGCAGGCCUUAUAGGGGAGACGACAUGCAACCAGCCUGAACUGAGGUCCGCGCAUCUGCUAGGAUGCUGGCGUAAUGGCUGUAAGCGGCCCGUCUUGAAACACGGACCAAGGAGUCUAACAUCUAUGCGAGUGUUUGGGUGUCAAGCCCAGACGCGUAAUGAAAGUGAACGGAGGUGGGAACCUUUUAGGUGCACCAUCGACCGAUCCUGAUGUCUUCGGAUGGAUUUGAGUAAGAGCAUGGCUGUUGGGACCCGAAAGAUGGUGAACUAUGCUUGAAUAGGGUGAAGCCAGAGGAAACUCUGGUGGAGGCUCGCAGCGGUUCUGACGUGCAA
rnacentral:rRNA from 1 species